UGGAUGAAGCGCUUCCAGCUGGGGCUUUGCCGCAUCUGCGUCGCUGUGCCCGCGCUCUUCGGGCGAGGAAGUCCCUUCGGGGUGGGAGGAGGAAAGGUUAAAUUCUGCUUCCGGAAUCCUACCGCUAACGGAAACACGUCCCCUGGAUGAGGCCAUGUCCUUCCCCAGCCAGGCAGGGCUGAGCUCCAGCUCUGCAGGCCACCUGCUUGACCAUCUCGUGACCUAUAUGCAGCCUUCGGCCCCCGGAAGCCAAGAACCAGUCGGCAGGGUAUCUGCAUCUCCCACAUCAUCCACUUUGGGAAAAAUGUCCAGAAAAGUCUGUUGGCUUUUUUUGCUAACACUAAUGAAGCACUGACUGCUA